rnacentral:rRNA from 1 species
UAGGGAAUUUUGGACAAUGGGCGAAAGCCUGAUCCAGCAAUGCCGCGUGUGUGAAGAAGGCCUUCGGGUUGUAAAGCACUUUUGUCCGGAAAGAAAUCCUUGGCUCUAAUACAGUCGGGGGAUGACGGUACCGGAAGAAUAAGCACCGGCUAACUACGUGCCAGCAGCCGCGGUAAUACGUAGGGUGCAAGCGUUAAUCGGAAUUACUGGGCGUAAAGCGUGCGCAGGCGGUUUGCUAAGACCGAUGUGAAAUCCCCGGGCUCAACCUGGGAACUGCAUUGGUGACUGGCAGGCUAGAGUAUGGCAGAGGGGGGUAGAAUUCCACGUGUAGCAGUGAAAUGCGUAGAGAUGUGGAGGAAUACCGAUGGCGAAGGCAGCCCCCUGGGCCAAUACUGACGCUCAUGCACGAAAGCGUGGGGAGCAAACAGGAUUAGAUACCCUGGUAGUCCACGCCCUAAACGAUGUCAACUAGUUGUUGGGGAUUCAUUCUUAGUAACGUAGCUAACGCGUGAAGUUGACCGCCUGGGGAGUACGGUCGCAAGAUUAAAACUUAAAGGAAUUGACGGGGUCAUAGCUGUUUCCU